UACGGAGGGGCUAGCGUUGUUCGGAAUUACUGGGCGUAAAGCGCACGUAGGCGGCUUUGUAAGUUAGAGGUGAAAGCCCAGGGCUUAACCCUGGAAUUGCCUUUAAGACUGCAUCGCUAGAAUCGUGGAGAGGUGAGUGGAAUUCCGAGUGUAGAGGUGAAAUUCGUAGAUAUUCGGAAGAAACACCAGUGGCGAAGGCGACUCACUGGACACGUAUUGACGCUGAGGUGCGAAAGCGUGGGGAGCAACAGGG
rnacentral:rRNA from 1 species